UCGUGGAGGGGUCAUUCCUCGGCCUCCAUUUAUUUGUUGCGAUAACCACGCAGCCACCGCCGCCGCCGCUCGUUCCAAUCUCCUCGCCGCCGCCAUGCUCCGGCUCCGGCGCUGCGUCCUCACUCAGCUCCUCUCGUUUCCCUCCGCCUCUCCCACCUCCCAGAUCCACCGCCUCAUCUCCGCCGCAGCGCCCGCCCCUAGCUUCGCCGUGCAGGACUACCUCGUCGCCAGCUGCGGCCUCUCCCGAGCGCAGGCACUCAAGGCCUCCACCAAGCUCUCCCACCUCAAAUCCCCCACCAAGCCCGACGCCGUGCUCUCCUUCCUCGCCGGCCACGGCUUCUCCAGCUCCGACGUCGCCGCCGUCGUCGCGGGAGACCCCAAGGUACUCUGCUCCAGAGUGGAGGGAUACCUUGUCCCCGUCGUCGCCCAGCUCACCGGCCUCGGCCUCUCGCGUUCUCAGGUCGCGCGCCUCAUCUCCUACUGCCAAGGCAACUUACAUCUCACAUCCAUCGUCUCCAAGCUGCAGUACUACCUGCCCCUCUUCGGUUCCAUCGACAACACCCUUCGAGUUCUCAAGCGCGGCUUUUACCUUAUCUCGUCUGAUCUUGAGAGGGUGGUCAAGCCCAAUGUCGCAACCCUGCGGGACUCGGGGCUGGGUGAUUGCGACAUUGCCAAGCUGUGCAUCCGUAAUCCAUGGCUGCUCACAACCAAUGUAGAAUCCAUCCGGGCAAUGGUGUCAUGCGCUGAAAGUCUUGGUGUGCCCCGUGGAUCUCGGAUGUUCAGGCAUGCCGUGUCUGCUGUUGCGUACCUCAGCGAGGAGAAGAUCGCCGCUAAAGCGGGGUACUUGAAGAAGACCUUUAGGUGGUCAGAUGCCGAGGUCAGCAUUGCUGUGUCCAAGCAUCCAAUCUUGCUGACAAGGUCUAAGGACUUUCUGCGGAGCAGAUCAGAGUUCCUCAUCUCUGAGGUGGGGCUGGAACCGGCAUACAUUGCUCAUCGUCCGGUAUUGCUCUCUUACAGCCUGGAGGGUCGUCUCAGGCCCCGGUACUAUGUUGUAAAGUUUCUCAAGGAAAAUGAAUUGCUAGAUUGCGACCGGGACUACUAUUCUGCAGUAAUGCGGACCGAGAAGGUAUUCAUGGAGAAGUACAUAUGCCCUCACAUGGAAGCUGCACCGCACCUCGCUGAAGACUAUGCGGAAGCUUGCAGAGCAUUUGGAUGCCAUUGUACAGAUAAUGCGUCUCUGCCCCCAUUCAUUGUUUGAAGGUGACUUGUGAUGACUAUUGGAUGUCGUUCAAUUGCUUUUCAAGCACGCCCAUCAUCUUUUUGUGCUAUGAUGAAGCAGGUUGAGGAUAGUGUCCGUGCAAUGAUAUAGGCUUGCUUGCAGGAACCCAUGUCAGGGAGGUGACCGAUAGGUGAUAGCAUAAUCUGAUCUUCUCAAGAACCGUACUUCAUUCAGCUGCAAGACAAAGCAGAUUGCUUUAGGUUCUUAGGUGCUAUAAUAUCGAAUAAAUGUCCUAUUAGUUUACAGGAUCACAUAUUUUUAGGUUUUUAAUGCAGUUCAUGAUGAAACAGCUGGAGCUUAUCAGGAUAAUUUUUUGAUAUAUACUAUUACCUAACUGACAUGGUUUUAGUUCAAAUAUGAACUAAAACCGCGUCAGUUAUUUCCGAACGGGGGGAGUAUCAUUUAUACUAAUUUAUAUUAAUACUGAUUUUGGGUGACCGCUCAUCAUCCUCUGUAUAUCACUGAUGCUACAUGCCAGAACAAGUUUUUAGAUUUCCUUUCUAGAGAUAGUUGUGCUUGGAAUCAGCAUAUUGCUACCAGAUAUGCACUCCAUUUACCCUUUUAAAAGAGGAAGGAGCAGGCAUAUUUGAUAGCGGGAGACUCCUUGACAACAUCCCAAUUCAAAGUAUCGAUACAGUUAUUAUGUUCUUGCAAUGAAAUGCCUACUAUUCUGAUUGUUACCCGAAGUGUGCGACCGUUUUCAGGUAGUCCCAGGUUUUGGCCUUGCUGCACAUUUGCGUCCCUUGUCAGAUGCCAUUAGAUUUAUGAGGGUGGGGUGAUCCAUUAUGAGGCAUUUUUUGUGUUCUUCAAAUUUUUUAAAUAGACAAACAUGAAUGACCAUGUUAAUGAUCCAUUAUUAAUACCAUCCGCUUCAGUGCGUUCUAUGGCUGAGAAUAGGGUGGUGUCCCUGGCAGGAAAAUUGCACACAAGAGAAACUGUUUUCUGAACCAAACUUUGGCAAAACCCUGACAAGUACUUAUGUCUUUCAUGGAAGGAACUCUGAGUAUCAGUGGAUGUUUGGUGAGGAAGAUCUUAAAUCUCUCCCAAUUCUUUUUCUAUUUUAUCUAUUAGGUAUUGCAGAUGUUUCUAUUUUGUUCCAUAAUCUUAGUCAAACUUUCAAAUGGUUGACCUGCACAAAAACCAAUACACCUUAUAUUCUAGAAUGGAGGGAGUAUGUUGAACAAUCUCUGAGUAUCAGUGGAUGCAUGGUCCGAUAACACACUGAGCAGUGCAUUAGGAUUGGGUGAUUAUUCAAGGUUUUUGUUUGAUUGGCUCCACACUGCAGAAGACAA